UAGGGAAUCUUCGGCAAUGGGGGGAACCCUGACCGAGCAACGCCGCGUGAGUGAAGAAGGUUUUCGGAUCGUAAAGCUCUGUUGUUAAGGAAGAACGAGUGUGAGAAUGGAAAGUUCAUGCUGUGACGGUACUUAACCAGAAAGGGACGGCUAACUACGUGCCAGCAGCCGCGGUAAUACGUAGGUCCCGAGCGUUGUCCGGAUUUAUUGGGCGUAAAGCGAGCGCAGGCGGUUAGAAAAGUCUGAAGUGAAAGGCAGUGGCUCAACCAUUGUAGGCUUUGGAAACUGUUUAACUUGAGUGCAGAAGGGGAGAGUGGAAUUCCAUGUGUAGCGGUGAAAUGCGUAGAUAUAUGGAGGAACACCGGUGGCGAAAGCGGCUCUCUGGUCUGUAACUGACGCUGUGGCUCGAAAGCGUGGGGAGCGAACAGG
rnacentral:rRNA from 1 species